rnacentral:rRNA from 1 species
UACGUAGGGUGCGCGCGUUAAUCGGAAUUACUGGGCGUAAAGCGUGCGCAGGCGGUUUUGUAAGCCAGAUGUGAAAGCCCCGGGCUUAACCUGGGAAUGGCAUUUGGGACUGCAAGGCUUGAGUGCGGCAGAGGAGACUGGAAUUCCUGGUGUAGCAGUGAAAUGCGUAGAUAUCAGGAGGAAUACCGAUGGCGAAGGCAGGUCUCUGGGCUGACACUGACGCUCAUGCACGAAAGCGUGGGGAGCAAACAGG